rnacentral:rRNA from 1 species
GAUCCUGGCUCAAAUGAACGUUGGCGACGUGGAUUAGGCAUGCAAGUCGGACGGGGCCGCAAGGCACCCGUGGCGCAAGGGUGAGUAAGGCGACGGUAACCAACCCCGGGGCUGGCCAUAGCCGAGGGAAACCUCGGGUAAUUUGCCAGCGACGCGGCGAGCCGGCAUCGGCGCGCCGCCAAAGGUGUGAUCCCGCCCCGGGACGGGCCGUCGUGGUAUCAGGUUGUUGGCGGGGUAGCGGCCCACCAAGCCUCUGACGCCUACCGGGCGUGCGAGCGUGGGCCCGGCACACUGGGACUGAGACACUGCCCAGACUCCUACGGGAGGCUGCAGUCGAGAAUCUUCGGCAAUGGGCGCAAGCCCGACCGAGCGACGUCGCGUGAAGGACGAAGGCCUUCGGGUUGUAAACUCCUGUCGGGGGGGGAACAAGGGGCCCGGUGCAAAGCCGGCCUUUGAGUGAUCCCCCGGAGGAAGCACGGGGCUUAAGUUUCGUGCCAGCAGCCGCGGGUAAAACGAACCGGUGCGAACGUUAUUCGGAAUCACUGGGCUUAAAGGGCGC